AUACAGAGGGUGCAAGCGUUAUUCGGAACUACUGGGCGUAAAGCGCGCGUAGACGGAUGAUUAAGUCAGUUGUGAAAGCCCUGGGCUCAACCUAGGAACUGCAUCUGAUACUGGUCGUCUAGAGUUUAAGAGAGGGAAGUGGAAUUCCAGGUGUAGCAGUGAAAUGCGUAGAUAUCUGGAGGAACAUCAGUGGCGAAGGCGACUUCCUGGCUUAAAACUGACGCUGAGGUGCGAAAGCGUGGGUAGCGAACGGGAUUAGAAACCCCUGUAGUCC
rnacentral:rRNA from 1 species